AUAAAUGUUUCGGAUGCUCAGGGUCUCUCCAGCACAAUACAUCCUCCGAUUGAUCGGUGCCCAUGACAUGGUAGUACAUUUCAUGAUUUAAAUUGAUGUUCGUCUCCGUCCCAGCAUCCAGUUCACCCCCUUCCUUGGGCGCCGGGUACCGGCAGUAAAAAAACCCCUUCUCAUCAUGCGUCCAACUAAUCCCCGAAAACUUAACCCAUGAGAGAGUAUCUGGCUCCGGCUUCUUAUCCUCAACCCGCAUUACUUUGAUUGUCACCCAGUCACUCCCACUCGAACUAAGCCCGUACGCUAGAUACUUCCCCUCCUUGCUAACGGCUCCCGAGCUAAGCGCAACCGUCCCAUCCUCACUAAGCCCGUUCGGAUCAAGUAACACCUCAGCCUCCCCG
rnacentral:misc_RNA from 1 species